rnacentral:rRNA from 1 species
UACGGAGGGGGCUAGCGUUGUUCGGAAUUACUGGGCGUAAAGCGCGCGUAGGCGGACCUGCAAGUCGGGGGUGAAAGCCCGAGGCUCAACCUCGGAACUGCCUUCGAUACUGCGGGUCUCGAGUCCGGGAGAGGUGAGUGGAAUUCCUAGUGUAGAGGUGAAAUUCGUAGAUAUUAGGAAGAACACCAGUGGCGAAGGCGGGUCUCUGGGCAACAACUGACGCUGAGGAGCGAAAGCGUGGGGAGCGAACAGG